GUUUCCGGGAGCCCGGCGGACGCUGGGUCUGCAGAUGCCAUCCAGGCGCACGGCGGGUAUAGUGGUUCCGCAACCUUGGGAUGUUCGGCUGAGCGCCUGCCUAACAUGGGAGCGCCUGCCUAACCCUCCUGACUGGAGGGUCAGCGGCGGGGAGUCCUGGCCUUCAAUCGGCCAUCGCCACGGCAGAAACUGGGGCCCGGGCUGCGUCCAGGCCCUUCCCCGUCCGUCCACAGGUCUCAUGGGCGCCCGGACUGGGGCUGAUGUAGUUUCCCGACCUCUGACACAUAGGAUCUGGAGAUUAAAGCUGCUCUGCUAAUAAUUAGGUUCCCACCUCUCAAGAUCAUUAGGAGCUUCUUUUCCAAUUCCUCUGUUUUGCAUGCAUUGGAAGUUCCUCCCCUAACCUGGUGCUAAAUUAGAUCAUAGUGUGGUCCUUGGACCAACAGUAUCAAUAGCACCUGAAAGUCAUGCUGGAAAUACAGAUUCACAGGCUGCUCCCCAGAAUACUGAAGAAGAAACUCUAGGAGUGAGACCCAACAAUCUGUGUUUAACAAGUCCCCAGCUGACACACACGUCUGCUCACUGCUUGCUCUUUGCACAGGCCCCUGGAUCCUCCUGGAAUCCCUGAUCCCUGUUGCUCCCUGGCGGAGUUUUCUAGUCCCUCUUACUUGAAGCAUGUCUUUCAGAGCCCGGCACCACCCAAGUUGGGUAUCUGCUACACCUCUAUGGUAUUUUUUUCACCUCAUAUCAUACCUUCCUCCCUCACUGGACUUCAGUGUGGGACCUGCAGGUCUCAGGCCUUCUGGGAAGUCCCAGCUUUUCUUGAAUGUUCUCUCUCUCUGGCCAGCUCAGGCUGGAGCAGUGGGUGUUGGUGCCAUCCUGUGGCUAUAGGUGAUAAGCCGGCUGUUCUUCACUGACCUGGUCUUACCUUGAACCCUGGAGUUCUCACAUGCAUGGAUUUAAAUGCUGUGUCUUUCUAAGGGCACAUUAUGGCCAUUUUCCUUAUCUCCCUCCCAAGGGGCUGUUUCCUGUAUUUAUUGACUCCCUGUUUAAAAAAAAUAUAUGUAUAUAUAGACAAAUUGGAUUGUACCCCAUAAACUGCAUGUUUUAAAAAUACUUCAAAGAAUAGUUUUUCAUUUUUUUCUUGCUGGUUUUUAUGUAUCUUCUAAAUUGUAUAUAUUUAUGGGGUAUAAAAUGAUGUUGUGAUUUUUCAAUACAGUGUGGAAUGAGAAUCAAAUUAACCUAUCCGUUACCUCAAGUACUUGACUUUUUUUGUGAUGAGAAGGCUGUUUAUCACUUUCACUCACCAG
rnacentral:lncRNA from 10 species